UGUAUCUGAAGCCUGACGAGGAUGAGAACCUCCGGGGGCAAGAGGUUCGACCCGAGCGAAGCGAGAAAACGUUGCGUCAGCAACGGCCCGCAGGGCGAGCCACGC
rnacentral:sRNA from 1 species